UCCUCUCUCCUCCUACGCGCAUCCUCUCCCCUCCCCUCCCACGCGCCUCCUCUCCUCCCACCCACAUCGCUGCCGCCGCCACCCACCGCCUCGAACCGCGCCGUCGGCGGCCAGAUCCGCCGCAACAGAGCCCCCGUCCCAACGACGACGAGCAGCAGCGGAGGGAGGACGAGGAGCGCGACGGCGGCAGCGGCGGCGGGGAGCAGCAGCAGCAGGCCAAGGCGGCUAGGGUUCCCCUCCCAAACCGUAGGAGUGGAUGAGGAGGUUGAGCCGCUGCCCGCCGCCGGCCUCCUCUCCUCCCCGUUCCUCUCCAGCCACCGAGUUCGCCGCCGCUGUUCCUCCCUCCUCCUAUCCAUGGGAUCUCCACCGGCCCUCCCUCGUGCUCAAGUUGUGGAGGGGCGACAUGCAACGGUGGACGAGAAGCCGCCGCCAGUUGUCCUCUUACUGCGCCGACCUGCACCAUCUCUGCCACCUCCCCAAGCUGAUGUGCGUCGCCUCCCUCCUCUCAAUGCUGUUGUCUCUGCUGCGGUGCUAUGGCUGCCUCCCGAAGCAACUGAAGCUCGCCUGCUCCUCAUCUGUCAAUGGCGUCCCCAAGCAGUAAGGAGACCCGGAGAAGAACAAGCAACUUUAUCUGAAAAUGGAAGAGCUAGUACCAAAGAGCCCCAACCCACCUCCACGAUCAAGUUCUACAUGCAAUUCAUGGAUAGUGGUUGUCGGCACAUCUUUUAACCAAGUCAUCUCCAUUGAUCCUUUUGUUGACAAGCAGCUAGACCCAAGCGUUUCCCAUGGUAGAUCGGUUUGGCCCUGCUGUGCUACCUAACUAACUUCGAAUCAGCUGCCGUCGCAAGACCUUCCACAACUAGACCUUGACGGCGCCAGCCGUAUGGACAUCUAGGUAUAUGAUAUUUUGCUACACCAGUCUUAUGCUUUCAAGUCCAACUAAGGUUAAGCCACACAAACAUCCAUUAGUUCUUGAAUUUUUGUUUGUAAAACUUUGGAUUAACAAUCUCAAACAAUGCACAUACUUCUUAUAUUCACUAGCAAUUCUAAAUGUAUAUGUGCUUUUUCUCUAUGCUGUACUACUAAACUAUUUAUGUUAAACAAAACAGGACAUCUGCACACCUGUUCUCAAACUGGAUCAUAUUUGAAGGUUUUUAAGUAUCCUUCCAAAUUCCAAUCAUGAAUCGCCUAGGAGUUAAGCAUCAAGUUUCAACCCAACCCUUCUUCAUGGCUUCUCUGACUAAGUGAUGGUCCACCUUUUAUUGCUUAGUGUAAUUACGGAAGUGCUUAGAUUAUUGGUUAGUGGAAAGCAUGUGGUUUUGCCUCACUUUCUUUCUCAUUUAGAUCCUGCCUUAACCAUACAAAGUAGUUUGACGCCUGACAAAUAGGCUGAGCCUAUAAAUUUGACUGUGAAAAAUAAACUGAGCUUAUAAGUUUGACUGCCAUGUUAUCAACUUUCUUCCGACUGCAACCAUCUCUCUCCAUUCUAGCCGCAUUCACUUUUAUUCAUACAACCUGCUUCUGUGGUUGUAUUGUACUACAAAGCAUGAAGUUGUGUAAGCUGUACGAUACCAUGUAUACACACAUACAUUUUCUUACUGUGGUUAAUCCAAUUCCAAUGUAUAUGUGUAGCUUUGUGCUUUGCUUCCUGUCUAUCUAUAGCUUAUGAGCUGAGACAAUUCCAAGUGUGAUCAAAUAGCUUGUGUAUGUGCCUGUGUAGCUCAACAAUCUUUCAAAAUGGUUAUUCAUGUCUGGUUGCGUCUGGCGGGCAACGCGCGGCAAGUCGUGCCACCUAUAAUUGAAGCAUCGUUCAUGGUCAGGCUCGAACUGCAUCCAGCAGGUAACCGCUGAGGAUGUUUUAAAAAGCCAUCACCAAUAGCCGAGCACUCUAUUGCUGCAAUUACAUGCCGGUUCCCAGCCAUUCUGUUACCCUCCUCUCCUAUCAUUAAAAAUAGGACAGAGUUUCGCAAUCAGCGACCUGAGGCGCCACUGACAGUAUUAUCAGCUGGCAUUCAACGACCAAUGAUGCACAAUGGCACAAGCUAGUGACAUCAUCUUGAUUUUUUCUUCUGUUCAUUGCCAUUAAAAAAUAGCGGGCUGCAUUUGAGCUUCUAAUAUUCAUUUGAUGUUUCAACUAAUGGGUUUUAUACUAUGUAUUGUCGGAGAUUGGAUUGCAGAAACAUGAGAAAAUAACUUCUGAUUGGAUGACAACAAUGUUGACCUUUUUGGAGAGGAAACCUAACCGGAGAAGGCGGCAGUUGAAGAGCGUGCUGCGAAAGUGAAGGGUUCUGGCAAGAAGAAAGAAUGACCGGCACCCUCGCGCCAAGACGCGUUACCGAUCUAGUUGGAGAAGGUUACCGUUCGCCGUGGCAUGACAUGAUGCUGCGAAGGUGCCGCCGCAGUGUGACGCCAACAGAGGUCAGUUCCUAUGGUGAACACCCCCAUCUUAGCAGUAUAGCCGUAGCUGUCUGGGUGCGCAUGUCCAGAGAAACAUAGAAGCGAGCAACUUUGUAAGCAUUGGAGCGAGGGUCGUGGCCAAGACCGAAUGCCUGAGGGCCUUGGAAGCGGUUGAGGGUCGGGGGAAGCGUGAUGGUGCGCCGAGUGGCCGGGUUAACUACGUGCGCCGUAUUGUCAGUAGGCAACAGCACCAGUCCAUCGCAAUGUGCCAUCCUGUGCAACGCCGCCUUCUUGGAGUGGUAGUCGGACAUGGCGUGUAGGAGCGUGCCGACGCCCUGCUGCUUCCCAUCCCACUGAUACAAACCGGCGACGGUCAUCUCUCCGGUUGAAGAAGCAAGAGGGCGAUCGUUGUCGUUCUCCCCGAGCCACGGCGCGACGAGAAGAGACGAGGUCUGGAGGCGGAGGUGAUCGCGGAGGAAAGAGUCGUCGUCAAUGAUGUCGCGCCAGGUCUUGCAGACGGACCUGAAUCGCAGCAGCUACUCCACGGGGAGCCGGGGCAGGAUCUCCGACACUAGCUCGUCCGGCAGGUACGGUAUGUUCGCCUUUGUCGUCGUCUCGUCGUCGUGCAUGGCGGCGCUCGAGUAUUCCUUUCUUUGGAACUUUUUUAGGGCAAACUGGAGUAGUACUUCUGAGGCAAAUUGAUCGACCGGUGCAGGAUCGGUGCCUAUAUAUAUAGGCUUAGUUGGGCUCUAGUUGUAGACACGCCCGUUUACGAGGGUCUGGCUCGAUGACGUGUGGGCCAUAAGGGUCGACUCGAGAGGCGUCAAUUGAAAAAUUCCAGCGAAAAUCAGUUGGAGCUCCGAAGCACAUGGACUGUCGUGUAUUUUUAGUCAUCUGAUUGUCGAUGGCGGUGUUGCACCGUUUGUUUUCGCACUUAUGCUUCGGUAGACCCCCCAUAAAUACAAGGACGGCUCAGAUUAACCCAUACCUCUUCAUAAUAAAGGGCAUGGUGGUCAUAUUUCGUUGUAUACUUUUUUUUCAGAAUCAUUUCGCUGUAUACAUAUACGUCGUACACUUGCGAGCUGGGCGUCCCAUCCAUCACUUUUUCCUCUGAAUUUAAAUCACAAAAGAUUCUGAGAGUGCCAAGAUUCGAGCCAGCAACUUAUGGUUCAUAAUGCGUCGCCAUAGCCAACUUGCCACCACCAGUUAACAUGAAUACAAGUGUUUUUCUUAUUCUUUUCUUCUACUCUUUUUUUCCUAUUUUCUUCUUUCCUCCUUUCCCUUUUCUUGCUCUUUUUUUCACGUGUUUUGAAGCGGUUUUGUUCCGGAUUUAUUUUCCU